UCUUCUUCUUCUCGCACACGCACGAACACACACGAUCUCUCUCUCUCUCUCUCUCUCUUUCAGUCUUCCUGCCUUUUUUCGUCUUUUCAUGUGUUGUCGCUCUCUCUAUCCCAAUCGAACGACGGAUAGUCCUCCACGUCCUCGUCGUCUUCGUCGUCUCAUUCUCUCCAACUUAUAACUGCCUCGUCCGCCUCUCCACCUUUUUCUGCUUCUUCUGGUUUUAGGGUUUUCAGAGAUGCGAGAGAAGGGUCUAGCCAUCGAUGUCUCCGUUAGUUCCGUGCUUAUCUCUGGAUCGAGGUUCGUUUUCCGGUUGAAGAUCUGAACUUCCUCUGUUCGUUGUCGACCGUGUAGCUCUUCGAGUGUCGAAUUAGGUUUUUUAUUGGAUUUUGCUUAUGUAGAGGUUGAUCAGUCGAGUUUGGUUAGAAGGCCAAGAACUGUUAUACUGUUGCAGAGACUGCUGCUCUCGUUUUUUGUGCUUCAUUUAUGGCGAUUGUAAAGAAUAACUUUAGGGUUUCGAAAUUGGAUGGAGAGUUUUCUCCUGUGAGUAGAGACAGUAUGUCGACUGAUGAGGAUGAACUUCGCAAGCGAAGCUCUACGUCAGAAUCUGAUAAUGAUGAUGAUGAAGACGAAGACGGUGUGGACUCUGGAGCUGGUUCUGACGACUUCGAUAUGUCAGAAUUGGGGGAAAUUGGGGAAGAAUCUUGUCAACUUGGUGGCGGUAACUGUAGUAUUCCAUACGAGCUCUAUGAUCUUCCGGAUUUGGGGGAAAUUCUCACAUUGGAUGCGUGGAACAAUUGCUUGACUGAGGAGGAUCGUUUUUCCCUUGCGGAAUAUCUUCCUGAUAUGGACCAGGAGACCUUUAUGCGUACAUUGAAAGAGCUCUUCUCUGGCAACAACUUCCAUUUUGGAAGCCCAGUGGCCAUGCUCUUUGAUAUGUUGAAGGAGGGACUAUGUGAACCCAGAGUAACACUUUACAGGCAGGGUUUGAAUUUCUUCCAGAAGCGGGAACACUACCACCUUCUGCGCAAGUAUCAGAACUCUAUGGUCGGUAAUCUUAUUCAGAUAAAGGAUGCAUGGGAAAAUUGUGCAGGAUACAGCAUUGAAGAGAGGCUUCGUGUUUUGAACAUAAUGAGAAGUCAGAGAAGUCUGAUGUAUGAAAAGAUGGAAGCCAGGGGAUUGGAGACUGAUACUUCAGACAGGGACGAAUCUGGUGAGGGUUUCUGGGGCAAGAGACUGAAGGACAUGAAGCUCAAGCCAAAGAUAGGUCGUCGUGAUAUAUACUCAGUGAGUCCGACUUUGAAUAAUUCUUCUCGAGGAAGGCCUGUGCCCCUGGAACCUGUAAAAUAUGGAAAGUCAAAUCCAAAAGGAAUUUUGAAGUUUGCUGGGUCGAAGGCCCUUUCUGAGAAAGGGUUUGUGGGGCGCUUUCCUUCAUCUAUUCAGCCUGGCUUGAAAAGUAAAUCUAGGGCUUAUCGUCCGACAUUAGCUCUUCCACGGCAAGAUCAGGUCUCAGGGUAUGAUUCAGAUUCUGCUCCACGGUCAAGGGGACAGAUAAGAGGUGAGGAAGAUGCAGAAGGACCACCCUAUGAAAUGGAUCACCUGAGAGACCGAACGCAUGGCACGACAAUUUCUAAAGUUGGCUCGUUCAAACCGGGAAAGAAAUCCAAAUUGUUCAAAACUGAAGAUGAGUAUGCUGCUGAAAGUUUGAUGGGUUUACCGCUGGCUAUACCAAAUGAUUUACAUUCUCAUGGCAGGGGCAGGAGUUUUAAUCAGAUGGCAGAACUGGAAACAUUGAAAGCUAAACCCAGUGGUGAAAAAUCUUCUUAUAAUUAUUAUUCCCGAGUUGCUGGGACAAAGGCCAAGCAUUCUCAGAAGGUUCAGAAAUCUGCUACCAAAGAUCAGAUGAAGGCUACAAAGGAUCAAUCACAGCAUCUGUUACGAAGAGGAAAUCAAGCUGACUGGUCUGUUGGGAGGGAGUCCAUUCAGCGCAACAAAGUGAAAGAAGAAGCCUUUGAUGUGGAUUAUCCUGUUAAGCAUGAUGAAUGGAGUGUUAAAGGCAAAAGGUGGAAGAUGGGGAAGGAGUUUCAAACUGGUAAAAACAGUGUGGGUCUUGAUCGUAAAGUUAAAUCUCAUAGAACUUUUCCUACCCAGAUGGAUGAUAUGGUAUUCCGUUCUGAUUAUAGAACAAAGGCAUCACUAGAUAAGGUCAAGAAAAAAUCUUCACUAAAUGGAGGACUUAACAUGGAAGAGCUUAGAAGCACCAAUAUGUAUGCCCGAAGUGAGGAAACCGAGUCAGACUCAUCAGAGCAGGUCAGCGAAGAAGAAUUCAACCCUUUGAGAAAUAAGCCAGGGCCAAGGGAUGUGGAGGGUCAUCGGUCUACUUCAACGAAAGCAAUAGCAGAUCCUAAAAAGGGCAUUAAACUUGGGAGGAAAGACAGGGAGUAUGCUGAGGCACUUGAACAGUUGCGUAUGGCAGACGUAGAUGUUUACCCAUCAAAAGGGAAACAAAAAGGUAAGAUACGCAAUUCAAGUUACAUGCACACCAAUGUUACGGGAAUCUCUGAGGAGAGUGGGUAUGCUGGUUUCGCUAAAACUGAUGAUGAUGGGAAAAAAGCUUACAAAUUGGGGAAGAAUGGCCAUGUGCAGGGUGAACCUGGUGAAAGAUUACACCUGCCGUCAUUAAAGGCCUACCCUCCAGAGAGAAAGCAUAAAGGAAAAGUCGAUCAUGAUUAUUCUGUGCCUCGGUCAAAUUACAUGCAUGAUUACAUUAAUGAGGAGAAAAACAAUUUGCAUCUAAAACAGAGGUUGGUGUCUGAUCAUGGAUUAACCAAUAAGUUAGGGAAGAAAGGUCAAAACUCUAAAGCUCAUUUAAGUGAUCGUCAUGAAAGAUCAAAUUUGUCUUUGUUAGGCUGCAACUCCAAGAAGCGGAAGGGCAAAACUGAUGUGAAAUACAUGGAUGGACCAAAUGAAUCUGAUCAAAUGCAGUCUAGUCCUCAACAGCAGGUUGAAGAUCCGACAUCCUUGAAGAAACGUGGAAAACGGAAAGUGGAGGCUGAAACAGAUUCUUUGGCUAUUCAAAAUUCUGAGCCACUGGUUUCGGAAAGGGGGGCUAUGGAUGUAGAGGCAGAUGUAAAACCACCAAAGAAGCCAUUUACUUUGAUCACACCAACUGUUCACACUGGCUUCUCUUUCUCCAUUAUACAUCUUCUUUCUGCAGUUCGCAUGGCAAUGAUUACUCGUAAUGCCGAAGAUAGCUCAGAGCUUGACAACCAUCUUAGCAGGACUGAUGGAAGACGUAAAUCUAAUAAUGAAGAGCAGAGCAGAAAGCAUGAAAGAACUAAUGUGGAUACGAAUAAUUCAGAACUUGUGGUACAGAAGACCUUGCCCUCUCUCACUGUUCAAGAGAUUGUCAACCGUGUGAGAUCAAACCCUGGAGAUCCUUGUAUUCUUGAAACACAGGAGCCACUGCAGGAUUUGGUCAGAGGAGUACUGAAGGUUUUUUCAUCCAAAACAGCCCCUUUGGGAGCAAAGGGUUGGAAGCCGCUUGUCUGCUAUGAAAAAUCAACAAAAAGUUGGUCCUGGAUUGGACCGCAUACUGAUAGCUCAUCAGACCUUGAGGCUGCUGAAGAAGAAACAUCUUCUGAGGCUUGGGCUCUUCCUCACAAGAUGCUUGUGAAGUUGGUUGAUUCGUUUGCUAACUGGCUGAAAAGCGGUCAGGAAACUCUUCAGCAAAUAGGAAGCCUUCCUGCUCCCCCUGUGACAUUAAUGCAGCCAAACUUGGAUGAGAAGGAGAGGUUUAGAGAUCUACGAGCUCAGAAGAGUCUCACCACUAUCAGCCCAAGCUCUGAAGAAGUGAGGGCUUACUUUCGGAAGGAGGAACUUCUUAGGUACUCUGUUCCAGACAGGGCCUUUUCAUACACUGCUGCUGAUGGUAGAAAAUCUAUUGUUGCUCCUCUGAGAAGGUGUGGUGGUAAGCCAACAUCCAAAGCCCGGGAUCAUUUUAUGCUUAAGCCUGAUCGGCCACCUCAUGUUACGAUUCUCUGUCUUGUGAGGGAUGCAGCUGCCCGGUUGCCUGGAAGUAUUGGCACCCGAGCAGAUGUUUGUACCCUGAUAAGAGAUUCACAGUACAUAGUGGAAAAUGUCUCUGAUGCACAAAUUAACCAAGUUGUUAGUGGAGCCCUGGAUCGUCUGCACUAUGAACGUGAUCCUUGUGUGCAAUUUGAUGGAGAUAGGAAGUUAUGGGUUUAUUUACACAGAGAAAGAGAAGAAGAAGAUUUUGAAGAUGAUGGAACCUCAUCUACGAAGAAAUGGAAAAGGCAAAGGAAAGAUGGUACAGAGCAAUUAGACCCUGGGCCGCUGAACAUCUCUUAUCAUGGGUCUGGGGAGCCAAUUGCAGGUGGCCCUGGAUAUGAUUUGGGCUCUGAUCUCAAUGUUGAACCAGCGCCUAUUCAUGAAGGGAGGAGAACAGAGCUUGGAUAUAAUGAUGAUUCUAAGCAAAAAAUAGAGGAUAAUGUUGAGUCCUAUGCUGGCUCUGGACAAGGUGGCAUGCAUCUGGGUUGGGAAGCUCGGGAAAACAAGAUGUUGUGUCAAGAAAAUUCUACAAAUGAAGAUUUUGAUGAUGAAACAUUUAGUAGAGAAAGGCCAUUUGGUCUCUUGAGUGCAGGCUUAUCUUGAAGAAUGUUGAUCCCAUAGUGAAGUACCUGGUUUUCCGGGAUCUGUCCAGGAAUAGAAGUUCAGCGAAUUUACAAGGCAUGAUCAUCUCCAUUUGAGGUGCAUGUGUGUACAUUGGAGAAUGUGUAGUCAAUGCGGAGGUGAAACUCUUCUAUUGGAGCAUACAUGGGAGUUGGAAAGUGAACAGGUCCACCUGUGAGAUGUGCAUCCAAAACUUGCAUAAUAUUAGGCUACUUCCAAAAAGGCAGAGCUCCCACCGUCCAUGUACGACAGGUAGAGGCACUGGUCAUAGGGGUGUUUACAUUGUCAUGAUUUUCUUGUGUCUGGUUGGGUGGUUUACCUGCUUUUCUAUAUGAUAGAUUUAAUCUUCAAACUGCAAUUAGGUCUCGGGCAUGGCAACUAAACAUUCUUUUA